CAGUAGCCACGGGAAUACGUAGGUGGCAAGCGUUGUCCGGAAUUAUUGGGCGUAAAGCGCGCGCAGGUGGUUUAAUAAGUCUGAUGUGAAAGCCCACGGCUCAACCGUGGAGGGUCAUUGGAAACUGUUAAACUUGAGUGCAGGAGAGAAAAGUGGAAUUCCUAGUGUAGCGGUGAAAUGCGUAGAGAUUAGGAGGAACACCAGUGGCGAAGGCGGCUUUUUGGCCUGUAACUGACACUGAGGCGCGAAAGCGUGGGGAGCAAACAGGAUUAGAGACCCCAGUAGUCCCUGUCUCUUAUAA
rnacentral:rRNA from 1 species